UUCGCUGACGAGUGGCGGACGGGUGAGUAAUGUCUGGGAAACUGCCUGAUGGAGGGGGAUAACUACUGGAAACGGUAGCUAAUACCGCAUAACGUCGCAAGACCAAAGAGGGGGACCUUCGGGCCUCUUGCCAUCGGAUGUGCCCAGAUGGGAUUAGCUAGUAGGUGGGGUAACGGCUCACCUAGGCGACGAUCCCUAGCUGGUCUGAGAGGAUGACCAGCCACACUGGAACUGAGACACGGUCCAGACUCCUACGGGAGGCAGCAGUGGGGAAUAUUGCACAAUGGGCGCAAGCCUGAUGCAGCCAUGCCGCGUGUAUGAAGAAGGCCUUCGGGUUGUAAAGUACUUUCAGCGGGGAGGAAGGGAGUAAAGUUAAUACCUUUGCUCAUUGACGUUACCCGCAGAAGAAGCACCGGCUAACUCCGUGCCAGCAGCCGCGGUAAUACGGAGGGUGCAAGCGUUAAUCGGAAUUACUGGGCGUAAAGCGCACGCAGGCGGUUUGUUAAGUCAGAUGUGAAAUCCCC
rnacentral:rRNA from 1 species